UACAGAGGGGGCAAGCGUUGUUCGGAAUUACUGGGCGUAAAGGGCGCGUAGGCGGCCUUCUAAGUCGAACGUGAAAUCCCCGGGCUCAACCCGGGAACUGCGUCCGAUACUGGAUGGCUUGAGUUCGGGAGAGGGAUGCGGAAUUCCAGGUGUAGCGGUGAAAUGCGUAGAUAUCUGGAGGAACACCGGUGGCGAAGGCGGCAUCCUGGACCGACACUGACGCUGAGGAGCGAAAGCCAGGGGAGCAAACGGG
rnacentral:rRNA from 1 species